rnacentral:rRNA from 1 species
AUUGAACGCUGGCGGCAGGCUUAACGCAUGCAAGUCGAGCGGGGUGAUGGUGCUUGCACUAUCACUUAGCGGCGGACGGGUGAGUAAUGCUUAGGAAUCUGCCUAUUAGUGGGGGACAACAUCUCGAAAGGGAUGCUCAUACCGCAUACGUCCUACGGGUGAAAGCAGGGGAUCACUUGUGACAUCGCGCUAAUAGAUGAGCCUAAGUCGGAUUAGCUAGUUGGUGGGGUAAAGGCCUACCAAGGCGACGAUCUGUAGCGGGUCUGAGAGGAUGAUCCGCCACACUGGGACUGAGACACGGCCCAGACUCCUACGGGAGGCAGCAGUGGGGAAUAUUGGACAAUGGGGGGAACCCUGAUCCAGCCAUGCCGCGUGUGUGAAGAAGGCCUUAUGGUUGUAAAGCACUUUAAGCGAGGAGGAGGCUCUUUUGGUUAAUACCCAAGAUGAGUGGACGUUACUCGCAGAAUAAGCACCGGCUAACUCUGUGCCAGCCGCCGCAGUAA